rnacentral:lncRNA from 1 species
CGUGGACACAGAUUGAGUGCAGAGUUGGACUGUGCCUCAAAGUAGUCAUCCAGGAGAUUCUGAGGACAACCGUUUCUGUCAAUACUGAAUUGUUCCAGAAACAUAUGGAGAAAACUGUACAUAGUGGAGACUGUUUUUGCUGAGGCUGAAGCUCUCAUCUCUACUCCUCAUGGUCAGCUGAGGAAGGGAUAUAGGAUUUGGUACUAUCCAAGGCGUAAUUCCACAGUUCRUGUCCUUUCCUAAUGCCAUUUUAAUAAGUUUCUGCCUAUCCCCAGCCGUGUGUUUCCAGUUCAUCCACAGUGUAGUGCCGUCUCUUUCCUAACCUUGUGGAGAAACAGAUCACUAAAAUAACUCAUUCAGGAAAAGAAACGUUUUUUCUUUGAACUAGAAUCAUUUGAGUGAUCUUAUUUACAGCAUGGCCCACAAAAAAGUAGUAUCAGUACAGCUGAAGGUGACAUGAACUGCAGCAGUAGAGGCAGCAGCAAGCAUUGGAGAGCGUCCCAGCGCUCUUAAGUGAUUGUCAUCAAAGCAAAUGUGCUCUGGGACUGUAUCCUGGAUGAAAGGGUUUCAGUAGCCACAGUAAUUUUUAUUGAACUGUUGCUCUUUGUUUUGUUUUGUUUUGUUUUAGAAUGAUUAACAUCUUGCUUGGGCAGGUUUUUUCUUGAGGAGAUAAACCAUCUCUGAGAAGUAAGUCAGCURUGUGGACCGCCAUGAAUAUCAAUAAAAUCUUGGCAAACACAGUAGGUAUUUAUUCA